AACUUUUUUAGAAGAGAUGCAUUUAUUAGAUAAAAAACCAAUACAUGCUUUUAAAGUAUGGAAUUUGGUGAUUUACAAUAACUUAGCAAAUCGCAUAGUGAAAACAGGCGAUAAAUCAUUCAAGUUUCUGACCUAUCAGCUUUCGACGGUAUGGUAUUGGCUUACCGUGGCAGUGACGGUUAACGGGGGAUUAGGGUUCGAUUCCGGAGAGGGAGCCUGAGAAACGGCUACCACAUCUAAGGAAGGCAGCAGGCGCGCAAAUUACCCAAUUCUAACAGCAUAAGAGAGGUAGUGACAAGAAAUAACAAUACAAGGCAGUUAAAAUGCUUUGUAAUUGGAAUGAUAGAAAUUUAAACACUUUUUAAAGUAUCAAUUGGAGGGCAAGUCUGGUGCCAGCAGCCGCGGUAAUUCCAGCUCCAAUAGCGUAUAUUAAAAUUGUUGCAGUUAAAAAGCUCGUAGUUGAAUUUCUGCUAAAAAUAACCGGUCUGCUUUUAAUAAAGGUGGUAUCUUGGUGUGUUUUUAGCAAUAAUGUCCUUUGAAAUGUUUUUUACUUCAUUGUAAUAAAUUAUUUUCAGGAUUUUUACUUUGAGAAAAUUAGAGUGUUUCUAGCAGGCUAACGCUUUGAAUACUGCAG
rnacentral:rRNA from 1 species